CAGACGGGAGGAUAGCAAAUGGUG
rnacentral:piRNA from 1 species